GUUUAUGUCAUUCACCUACAAAAACAAAUGAAAACAUUGCUAUGAUAUUACUAUGAUUAUUUCCACUCAUAAGUCAGGAAGCCAGGGGUUGGGGACUAUCCUCAAGAGUGCCAGUUUUUCAUUUGAGAAGCCUUGGGUUUGAUUCCCAGCGCACGCAGGCACACACACACACACACACACACAGUUGGGACUGCAGGGGAAAGACUAAGGUGAAAAAAAAAUUCAAUUGUUGACCUUCCAUACCAUACUGCUUCCCAAAUGCAUGUACCCACCACCACGAUUCUGUUUAUCUGAGGUUUGUAUGAGCAAAGAAGGCAUCUAAAACAGAGGAGUGUGACUUAGAGAUGGGGGGGAACAAAGUCAGCUACAAAUUUUCUCAAGUCUGGUGCCAAAUGAAAACGUGGAAUUUGUUGUCCCAAAAUUAAAAAUUUUAAUACGGUGACAGCCCAACAUUAAACCAAGCAUGAGAGUCUUCUGAGUGAAGGACACAGGUUGCAGGCCCAUAAAGCCAGUCCCAGGAGGAAGGGAACAGUUUUUAAGAGUAGGAACUUUUAAUGAGCAUGAGAUUUAAAAAUAUAGAAAUGAGGUCAAGUGCUGUGGCACACACCUCUAAUCUCAGCUACUUGUGAAGCUAAGGAGCACAAGUUCGAGGCCAGUCUGGGCAAUGUAAUGGGACCCUGUCUCAAAAAUAAAAAUGUCUAAAGGGGUUGAAUUAAAACCACCCUAAUGACCUCAUUAACUUAAUUACCUUUUUAAAACUGUAGGUCAGUGAUAGAGCACCCCUGAUCUCAAUCCCUAGUACUGAAAAAGAAAGAAAGUGAGUCUAUCACUUAUAAAAGUGAAAGCUCUUAGAUUUAAUAAUUAUUCUUCUCACCACUGAAAUACACCCCAUCACACAUUCCUGGUCAAAACAGUGUGAUACAUGGCAUAGUUUCUGGUGACUUCUACACCUUGG
rnacentral:lncRNA from 1 species